rnacentral:lncRNA from 1 species
GGGUUGUUGAACAACCCUUUCACUGGAUUCCCUAAGACAAUUGAUUCAUAACUAGCAAAAUUAUUAGGUAGCAACAAAAAUAAUUUUAUGGUUGCGGUCACUACAACAUGAGGAACUGCAUUAAAUGAUAGCAGCUUUAGGAACGAACAGUGAGAACCAUGGUUCUUAAAUAGUAUCUUAAGAGUACUACACAAAGCCGGGCUUGGUAGUGCACGCCUUUAAUCCCAGCACUCGGGAGGCAGAGGCAGGUGGAUUUCUGAGUUUGAGGCCAGCCUGGUCAACAGAGUGAGUUCCAGGACAGCCAGGGCUACACAGAGAAACCCUGUCUUGAAAAAACAAAAAACAAAAACAAAAAAAUAGUAAUGGGCAUGAGUCUAAUAUUUGAAGUCAACUGCUGAUUUUUGAGUCUGCCUUGGCAUAUGAUUUAUCUUGACCAAUGUAAAUUGAGUCUUGACUGUCUGAAGCACUAUUAUCAGGAAAUCCUACCUAAAAUAAAAUGGUUUUUCCACAGUGCAAAAAAUCAGCACUCUGGAGAAGACAGAGGCAGAUGGAUCUCUCUUAGCUUGAGGCCAACCUGGUCUGAGCUACAUAGAGGAACCUUGUCUCAAAAAAACUAAAAAAGGAGAAAGUGUUUUUUUCAAAACCCAAAUCCUACUUAAAAUAAAUCUACUAUGAGUGGGAUCCUGAAGGGGAAAAGUUAUCAAGGGCCUGGGGAUACAGGUGGUGAGACACUUGGACUCAGCCAGCUUCGAGCUCUCCUGGAAUUCUGAGGUUUAGUAAGCAAGGAAAGAGGAAGCUCAGAUGUAGUGCUAGGGUGUUCUGAGGGUUGGGCUAAGCCUAAUAGGGCCAAGCGUUGGGCAGGUGGGGUGGAAAAGUAGAUCUUCUGUUCUUCGGAGUACCGUUCUUCAGGAGUCACAGCAUCACGGUAAGUCCAGUCCCGCCAAUGGAAAUUGAAACCUUCAAGCAGAGUGAUGCGGCCAGCUCUUGUAGGCACACAGUCAGGGGGCUUUCUGGGUGGCAAAUUUGGCACUUCAAUCCCUGGCAGCAACAUAACCCCUCGGAUGGCAAACCAGCCCCCAAAUCGGGGGUGUAUGCACACACCUGCUAUGUGCUGGGGAGAGGACAAAGAAAAAGCAGGGUUACAGAGGUCAUUUUGACACUAGGUUCAACGACUAUUGGAAACUUUUUAUCCCCCAAGUAUGGGUAUGAGUGUUUUGCUUGCAUGCAAGCAGUACCCACAGCGGCCAGCAGAGGGUGUCAAUCUAAAAACGAGUUGCAGAUGGUUCUGAGCAGCCACGUGAGUGCUUGGGAUUGAACAUGGUUCAUACAAAAGCAACAAAUGUUCCUAAUCUUUUUCUAAUUCUUUCCCACUCAGUGCACACUCAUUCCAUGCAGAAGGCUCUGUCCCUUCUAUUAAAUUAAGAAAUCUAGGGCUGGAGAGAUGGCUCAGUGGUGAAGAGCACUGACUGCUCUUCUGAAGGUCCUGAGUUCAAAUCCCAGCAACCACAUGGUGGCUCACAACCAUCUGUAACGAGAACUGAUGCCCUCUUCUGGUGUGUCUGAAGAUAGCUACAGUGUACUUACAUACAAUAAAUAAAUAAAUCUUUAAAAAAAAAAUCUAGCCGGGCAGUGGUGGGGCACACCUUUAAUCUCAGCACUUAUACAGACCUUAUAUUGUAGGGGAUCCUUUAGGAGCCUUUACUAUCCUUUCCCUUGGUCCCCACCCACUCAUUCACAUUCACUCUCUAACCUGGGUCCCCCAUGGGUCUGCAUCCACAUCUUGUCGUUGGUAGUAAUAAGCAGCACCUGCCACAUGGGCUGCUGUCUGGGCGAGAAUCUUAGGUCGCCGAUUGGGGUGUACCUCAUAGUCAGCAAUGACUUCCAUAUGCACUUCUGGAAACUUCUGGAACAGAAUACAGGGCGCUUGUUAGCAUGAUGGGAGUCAUGAUUUUGUUCUAAGUCCUAAGUUAUGUAUUAAUAUGCCUUCUGUUUUUAUAAGCCCAAGGGGAUUUUUUUGUUUGUUUGUUUGUUUGUGUGUGUGUGUGACCGGGUCAGAAUGACCUUGAACAUGCUUUAUAUAUCUAAAGAUGAUCAUGAAUUCCUGAUUCUCCUGCCUCUAUCUCUCUACUGCUGGAAUUCACCAUUAAAUGUCUGUUUGAAGG